rnacentral:rRNA from 1 species
UACGUAGGGUGCAAGCGUUUAUCCGGAAUUAUUGGGCGUAAAGAGCUCGUAGGCGGUUUGUCGCGUCUGCUGUGAAAACUGGGGGCUCAACCCCCAGCCUGCAGUGGGUACGGGCAGACUAGAGUGCGGUAGGGGAGAUUGGAAUUCCUGGUGUAGCGGUGAAAUGCGCAGAUAUCAGGAGGAACACCGGUGGCGAAGGCGGGUCUCUGGGCAGUAACUGACGCUGAGGCGCGAAAGCGUGGGGAGCAAACGGG